rnacentral:sRNA from 3 species
AUAUCUCUCUGUACGGGAAGGAUGAGAAGCUUCUACCAGGGUUCGAUUCGAGCGCAGCGAGAAAGCGUUGCCGCAGGCAACGACCCGAAGGGCGAAGCG